CUUGCUUUCUUUGCUGGCGACCGGCGCACGGGUGAGUAACACGUAUCCAACCUACCCUUUACUCGGGGAUAGCCUUUCGAAAGAAAGAUUAAUACCCGAUAGCAUAAUGAUUCCGCAUGGUUUCAUUAUUAAAGGAUUCCGGUAAAGGAUGGGGAUGCGUUCCAUUAGGUUGUUGGUGGGGUAACGGCCCACCAAGCCUUCGAUGGAUAGGGGUUCUGAGAGGAAGGUCCCCCACAUUGGAACUGAGACACGGUCCAAACUCCUACGGGAGGCAGCAUG
rnacentral:rRNA from 1 species